AACGAACGCUGGCGGCGUGCUUAACACAUGCAAGUCGAACGCGAAAGUUUUCUUCGGAAAGCGAGUAGAGUGGCGCACGGGUGAGUAACGCGUAAGUUAUCUACCUCGGCAUCUGGAAUAACUCACCGAAAGGUGUGCUAAUACCGGAUACGUUGAGUAAUCAAGAAAGGUGGCCUCUGAAUAUGCUACUGUGCUGAGAUGAGCUUGCGUACCAUUAGCUAGUUGGUAGGGUAAUGGCCUACCAAGGCAACGAUGGUUAGCGGGUCUGAGAGGAUGAUCCGCCACACUGGAACUGAAACACGGACCAGACUCCUACGGGAGGCAGCAGUGAGGAAUAUUGCGCAAUGGGGGAAACCCUGACGCAGCGACGCCGCGUGGAUGAUGAAGGCCUUCGGGUCGUAAAAUCCUGUCAGAUGGAAAGAAAUGCAUAUGUGCUAAUAUCACAUAUGUUUGACGGUACCAUC
rnacentral:rRNA from 1 species